rnacentral:rRNA from 1 species
AUAGCGACUAUCGUGGCAUAUCAAUAAGCGGAGGAAAAGAAACUAACAAGGAUUCCCCUAGUAACGGCGAGUGAAGCGGGAAGAGCUCAAAUUUGAAAUCUUAAAGGGUUUCCCUUUACGAAUUGUAGUUUAAAGAAGUGUUUUCUGUUAGAGUUUCGGUAAAAGUUCUUUGGAAUAGGACAUCAUAGAGGGUGAGAAUCCCGUAUUUGACCAUUAUUUCCAGCUGUGUGAUACACUUUCAAAGAGUCGGAUUGUUUGGGAAUGCAGUCCAAAAUGGGUGGUAAAUUUCAUCUAAAGCUAAAUACUGGCGAGAGACCGAUAGCGAACAAGUACCGUGAGGGAAAGAUGAAAGAGAACUUUGAAAAGAGAGUUAAACAGUACGUGAAAUUGUCAAAAGGGAAGCGUUUGACACCAGUGUUGUUUUCUCGAAAAUCAAUUAAAAAUGGUGGGAUGUUGUGUUGUAUUGACUUUAUCAGCUUUCUGCACUUUUUUCCUAUCUUUUUUAAUGCACUUUUCGUUUAACAAGUCAACAUCAGUUUCUUUUGUUGUAAAAGGGUCAUUGGAAGGUGGCUUUCUUUUCGGAGAAAGUGUUUAUAGCCUUUGAUCUCUGCAACCGGAGAGACUGAGGUCUGCAGCGUAGACUCUUCGGGGUUAAAUACAUUUGUGCUAAGCUAUAGCUUUUUAUAGACAACUUGUUGACUAUAUUUAGUCUUGUGGCUUACUCGCUUAUGCUAUUUUACCUACGCUUAGGAUGUUGA